GAGGAUGCCGGCUACAUUGUCCUUGUAAGUUUCGGAACUGGAGGUUUGAGACUAUCUCCUUGACUGCUCUGAAAGAAGUGGAGUUCGAUGGCUUCGAAGGAGAGGAUCAUGAAUUUGAUUUAUUACAAUUGAUACUUGGAUGUGCACCGACGUUGAAAAGAAUGAGUGUGCAGCUGUCAGAAGAGACCUCGGCAAGUCAUGAGGGAUGCGCAAAGAUAUACAGCAUCUUCAAGGCGUGUUCAUCUGUGAAAUGCGAUGUUUAUCACAAUUCUGGGUUAAUGCACGACAGCCAAAAUUGCCCGUCGAUGAGAUUCUCGGGUGUGUUGAUUCAGGGUGUUCAUUGACAAGGUCUCAGGACGUUGCUUGGUUGCUUCAACCGAUCAUCCGGCAUGCUCUUUUGUCAGUGUACUGUACUAGCUAUAAUCUAAGGUGCUCAGUUAAAUCUUGUGUGGUUUCUAUGCCAUUUGACUAUUGAAGUUAACUGCAGUCUAUCUAUGUCUUCAGUCAAUUACUUGAAGGUGAUUGUCAUUUUAAA